UCCAGUUUGUGUAUGUUCUAAAAAAAACUGAUUGCACACAGACUUUAUUUAUUUUUAUUUUUUUUUGGUAAAAAUGUAAAGAUAUUAUUACCAAGCUUUUACGUUUUUGACAUAAUUACAAAAGAUAACAAGAAGCAGAAUAAACGAAAUUAAAAACUAAACACAACUCUAUCUAGCAUCAACAGGGGCAGACACAACAAACCAUGGCCGCUAUCCAGAAGCUCGACCAAAUCCACACCACGCGCUUGCUGCAAAAAGAUAAGCCAAAUUCAACUGAGAACCAGAACCCGGUAAUUUUGGCUUCCCCGAUGAUCCGCUCUUAAAGAUAAUGACCCAUCUGAGAACAGCUUGCCGAGGGCUUCAUAGCACCUGCCUACACGAACAGACAACAACAGUAGCGGCCAAGCACACCCGCCUCAACUAAAUCGAGCAUUUAUUAGACCGGAGACGAGCAGAGAACACCUAGUACUAAUGUACAGCGCCCCUAAACACCAAACGGCCAAAGAACGGUUGAAAUUGUCACUGAACUCUGACCAAACAGUCUCUGCACCUGCACAAACUAGUUAAUCAUACUACCAAAACUGAACAAAUGAGCAGCUUAGGCACUGGGAUGAGUGAUAUAGCCAAGCAUUGACUCCGAGACUAAGG
rnacentral:lncRNA from 1 species